GUGCUCGCUUCAGCAGCACAUAUACUAAAAUUAGAACAAUAUAGAGAAGAUUAGCAUGGCCCCUGCACAAGGAUGACACGCAAAUUCAUGAAGGGUUCCAUAUUUUU
rnacentral:snRNA from 1 species